CAGAGGCACGGCUUGAGCAAAAGAAGCGCUGGCUACCCUUCCUGUUUGAUUUUAUCAUCCGCACAACAGGCUAGCAACAUCCACUGCAGGAUUUCCAGCAAGAAGAGAUAAUCAGUCACAGGAGAGAAAGGAAGGAAGCUGGAACUGAUCGGGAAAAUUCUGUCCUGGCUACCUUUCAGGGCGCUAGGGGAAGCAGAGCCGGCAAGCCACAUGCCAACCUGCCUGGAAGAUGAGCCUCCCGGUGGAAACCGGUUUUGCCAGCACCAUUUGUUGAACAGUUUAUCUUUUCGCCCCCAAAGAAUGCCUUUGCCUCCUGUGUCAAAAAUGAAGGGGUCACAGCGCUGUCGUUUUAUAGCCGAGUCUUCUAUUCUAUCCCAUCGGUCUACCUGUCCCUUACGCCAGUACCAGGCUGUCUUCGUUUCUACAGACCUAUAGCCCAAGGAAGGAGUCACUAUUUUCAAAAAAGGCCUUCAACCCUGGAAAAGUAACCUAGGCAACCAUUACCAUCAUAACCCACUCAUCGGAGAGUUGUUUACAGUGUGGCUGGCUCGUCGGAGACUAAUAAUGUACUAACCAGCAAGGGACCUUCACACUCAGUCAAUCUUGAGAGGAGGAAGAGUGGAGUUAGCUUCUCCACC